AUACGGCUUAACAUUCAGCUUCUAAGGUAGAAUCUAUAAUGAUCGGUUGUUUGGAACUCUUCCAAUUUACUGAACCACAAUUGCACAUAUUCUGAUGUAGACUUUCUAUCAUCAAUAUGUGUGCAUCCUUCUACCUUCAACUCUGAUCUUCUCCCAAAGACCAAGAACAUGUCCUUAGUUCUUCUCAAGUACUUAAGACUGUUCUU
rnacentral:lncRNA from 1 species